GUAUUCCGCUCCAUAGCGUAUAUUAAAGUUGUUGCAGUUAAAAAGCUCGUAGUUGAAUUACGGGGUUAGUAGGUUGGUCAUGCCUCUGGUAUGUACUGGCCUCACUGAUUCCUCCUUCCUGAUGAGCCGUAAUGCCAUUAAUUUGGUGUUGCGGGGAAUUUGGACUGUUACUUUGAAAAAAUUAGAGUGUUUAAAGCAAGCUAACGCUUGAAUACAUUAGCAUGGAAUAAUGAAAUAGGACGUUCGAUCCUAUUUUGUUGGUUUCUAGGAUUGACGUAAUGAUUAAUAGGGAUAGUUGGGGGCAUUAGUAUUCAAUUGUCAGAGGUGAAAUUCUUGGAUUUAUUGAAGACUAACUACUGCGAAAGCAUUUGCCAAGGAUGUUUUCAUUAAUCAAGAACGAAAGUUAGGGGAUCGAAGACGAUCAGAUACCGUCGUAGUCUUAACCAUAAACUAUGCCGACUAGGGAUCGGAUGAUGUUAAUUUUUUAAUGACUCAUUCGGCACCUUACGGGAAACA
rnacentral:rRNA from 1 species